rnacentral:rRNA from 1 species
UACGAAGGGUGCAAGCGUUACUCGGAAUUACUGGGCGUAAAGCGUGCGUAGGUGGUUUGUUAAGUCUGAUGUGAAAGCCCUGGGCUCAACCUGGGAAUUGCAUUGGAUACUGGCAGGCUAGAGUGCGGUAGAGGAUGGCGGAAUUCCUGGUGUAGCGGUGAAAUGCGCAGAUAUCAGGAGGAACACCAAUGGCGAAGGCAGCUCGCUGGAACGGUACUGACGCUGAGGCGCGAAAGCGUGGGGAGCGAACAGG